CCGCGUUCAUAAAUAGAGGACCGAGGCACCUCAUGCUUCAUCAUAUCAACAAUUCUAUCUCCUCUGAGUUCUUUUGAACACUUCUCUUCCAAAAGUGCGAGAGUAGAAGAAGAUGAAGAAAAGAAAAAAAGUCAGGUUUUGCAGGGAAGACAUGCAUGGCAAAUAUUGUGGAAGACUAUGAAAUACUCAUUUGAGCAAGAAAAUACUUCAAACUUGUGUUCAACAAAGAUCCAAAGACUGGAUAGUUAGGAAGUCUCUACCUUAAAAUUUUGAGAGGAGAACAACCUAGAAACUUCAAGAGAAGAACGCAAGUAUCUAAGAUGUCAUCUAACAUAAAUAUGACAUCUUGAUAUAUAUGUUAUUAAGUUUUGUUUUGUAAGUUAUGCAGAUGUUAAUUAAAAUUAGUUUAGUUUUUCAAUAAAAUAGAUAUAGAGUAGAAGAAUCGUUAAGAAUAUAGUCAUGUAUAAACAAAACAAAUAUAAAGCAAUGAUAUUAUGAUUAUAA